AGUUGUUACAGGUUUGGUUUGAUUGGCUGAUAACCAUUAGCAGUUGUUAAAGGUUUGAUUGGAUGAUAACCAUUAGCGGUUGUUACAGGUUUGGUGUGAUUGGAUGAUAACCAUUAGAAGUUGUUACAGGUUUGAUAGGACGAUACCAUUAGCAGUUGUUACAGGUUUGGUUUGAUUGGAUGAUAACCAUUAGCGGUUGUUAGAGGUUUGAUUGGAUGAUAACCAUUAGCGGUUGUUACAGGUUUGGUGUGAU